CUUAGUUCGUGGAGUGAUCUGUCUGCUUAAUUGCGUUUCAAAUUUUUAACCGAGGACCGGGUUUUGGUUUGGCUAGUGGUCCUACGAUGACUGUGAACUGUCAUGUCUUCGGAUGUACGACUAUCGGUCUAGGAUCACAUGACUUGCCCCUGGGACUCUUUUGAACGCAACGGACGUGAUUGCAACCCCUUGUUGAGAUUAGAGAUAGUCUCGAUAUUCACUGGCCAAACUGGCUGCUUUAUGCAGUCUUGUUGAAUGGUGGAUAAACUCGGGGGACUGCUGACUAUAACCAUUUCUCAAAACAGAGGAAGGUUGCGGCAAUAACAGGUCUGUGAUGCCCUCAGAUGUCCCGGGCUGCACACGUGCUACAAUGAGUGGCGCAAUGUGCUAAUGUUUUAAGGGAUAAGCGUGCGGCCAGUAGAACGUCGGCAAUUGCCCUGGCGUCUUCUACCGCACGAUUAUCAGCCUUCCCUUAACAGGGCGGGCAACCUUUUCAAAAUACCGGUUUGAUGUUAAAGUAUAGAGUCGUUUUUUUUGGAUGGUGGUUUACGAACCAAUACCAUCCGCAACUGCUCGCGAGUUUGUGGUUCUGGUGACU
rnacentral:rRNA from 1 species